rnacentral:rRNA from 1 species
UACGUAGGGUGCGAGCGUUGUCCGGAAUUAUUGGGCGUAAAGAGCUCGUAGGCGGUGUGUCGCGUCGGCCGUGAAAACCUGCAGCUUAACUGUGGGCUUGCGGUCGAUACGGGCAUCACUGGAGUUCGGCAGGGGAGACUGGAAUUCCUGGUGUAGCGGUGAAAUGCGCAGAUAUCAGGAGGAACACCGGUGGCGAAGGCGGGUCUCUGGGCCGACAUUGACGCUGAGGAGCGAAAGCGUGGGGAGCGAACAGG